AAUUAGUGGUGACUGAGAUCUGAUGAAGAAGAUGGGACACCCUUUGUUCUCUGAGUUAUUCUUGCUGUGUUCUCUCCUCUACACCGGACGAGCUCAAGAUGCUGUUCUGACUAUUGAACCCAGUUGGUCGACUUAUUUUGCUGGAGAGUCUGUUACCUUCAUAUGUGACAUGAAGGAAGGAAGAAACGAUGACUGGGAAUAUAAAAUCAUCUGGGAUGGUCGGGA